GUUUUCGUAGAUCAGUUGGCAGAUCGCCGGUCUCAUAAACGGGAAGUCGUAGGUUCGAAUCCUACCGAAAACG
rnacentral:tRNA from 1 species